GCCACCCUCAGUGAGUGAUGGGCCACCCUCAGUGAGUGAUGGGCCACCCUCAGUGAGUGAUGGGCCACCCUCAGUGAGUGAUGGGCCACCCUCAGUGAGAGAUGGGCCACCCUCAGUGAGUGAGGGGCCACCUUCAGCCAGUGAGGGCCGGGCCGGGCUCGGGGCAGGGCCGGGGCAGGUGUGGGGCUGUCCCAGGAUGGACUCAGAGCGUCUCUGCAGGAUGUGGUGGCCCUGGAGAUGGCUGGUGACACCGCUCUGCUGUCCCCACGGCGGCCCAUCGCCCAGUGACACUGGCCCAUCACCCAGGGACACUGGCCCAUCACCCAGGAACGGUGGCCCAUUGCCCUGAGUUGGUAGCCCACCAUCCUUGGCCAUCCCAGUCCCUUUCCCGGGGUCACCACGGUCCAGCCACGCCCUGUGCCCAUCCCCCCCUGCCCCCCCAACGAACCCGGAAAUCCCGUGUGGGAUCCCGAAUUCCAGAAUCCCAACUGGAAGAGGAGGCCCCGCCCCCUCCCCUGCUCCAAGCCUGUCUUAAUUCCUUUAUUUAUUAAUUAAUAUUAAUUAGGGGGUCUCCUCAUUAAUUCCCUCCUGUUUCCCACGGAAUCCUGGGAUGUGCUGAAGGUUUUUUUCCUCCCCCUCACCUUCCAGGCUCGUUUUGGGAAUUCCCUUUUGGAAUUGUCAUGCUUUUUGCCGUGGUUAUUUAUUAUCAGUUAUUUAUUUAAUUUAUUUUUAUUUCCCUCCCUGCCCUUACCGCCUGAUUUUAAUAUUUUUAUUUUUUUUUCCUGCUGACAAACCCAAAUAUUUCCAUAUUUAAUGCCAAAUUCCGUAUUUCACGGCCGUUCCAAGGAUUUGGGAUCCUGCCAGCAGCUCCCAACUCCUCUGUGCAUUUUGAGACGAGCAAUAAUUUUCAAAUGCUAUGCAACGACUUUCUUUGCUUUAUUUUUCAAAGAAAAUCCAUAUUUUUGAUGUUGUACCAGCCUCGUGAGCCCGGCUGGCCAAAUCUCCCUGGUUUUGUACAAAAUUUGGGAAUUUGGAGAUGAUUUGAGGUCCCUGCCCAGCCCCCAGGUCCUGGGGCUUCUUCCCUUUUGUACUGAAAGAUGUUUUAUCCUUUUGUAAAAAGAGCAGAUUUGGGGUUUUUAGC
rnacentral:lncRNA from 1 species